rnacentral:rRNA from 1 species
CCAAUAGCGUAUAUUAAAGUUGUUGCAGUUAAAAAGCUCGUAGUUGAAUUUCGGGGUUAGUAGGUUGGUCAUGCCAUCGGUAUGUACUGGUCUCACUGAUUCCUCCUUCCUGAUGAACCGUAAUGCCAUUAAUUUGGUGUUGCGGGGAGACUGGACUGUUACUUUGAAAAAAUUAGAGUGUUUAAAGCAGGCUAACGCUUGAAUACAUUAGCAUGGAAUAAUGAAAUAGGACGUUCGAUCCUAUUUUGUUGGUUUCUAGGAUUGACGUAAUGAUUAAUAGGGAUAGUUGGGGGCAUUAGUAUUCAAUUGUCAGAGGUGAAAUUCUUGGAUUUAUUGAAGACUAACUACUGCGAAAGCAUUUGCCAAGGAUGUUUUCAUUAAUCAAGAACGAAAGUUAGGGGAUCGAAGACGAUCAGAUACCGUCGUAGUCUUAACCAUAAACUAUGCCGACUAGGGAUCGGAUGAUGUUAAUUUUUUAAUGACUCAUUCGGCGCCUUACG